UACGAAGGGGGCUAGCGUUGCUCGGAAUUACUGGGCGUAAAGCGCACGUAGGCGGAUAGUUAAGUUGGGGGUGAAAUCCUGGAGCUCAACUCCAGAACUGCCUCCAAAACUGGCGAUCUUGAGUUCGGGAGAGGUGAGUGGAACUGCGAGUGUAGAGGUGAAAUUCGUAGAUAUUCGCAAGAACACCAGUGGCGAAGGCGACUGACUGGACAUGUAUUGACGCUGAGGUGCGAAAGCGUGGGGAGCAAACAGA
rnacentral:rRNA from 1 species